GAGUUUGAUUAUGGCUCAGGACUAACGCUGGCGGCGUGCCUAACACAUGCAAGUCGGACGGACCGGUUUUUGUAGCAAUAUGAGGGCCGGUUAGUGGCGCACGGGUGAGUAACGCAUAGAUGAUCUGCCUUUCAGACCGGGACAACUCAGGGAAACUUGAGCUAAUACCGGAUGAGACCACGUGAAGGGAUUCAUGCGGCCAAAGGGGGUAGCGAUAUCCCGCUGGAAGAUGAGUCUAUGUCCUAUCAGCUGGUUGGUGGGGUAACGGCCUACCAAGGCCAAGACGGGUAGCCGGCCUGAGAGGGUGAACGGCCACACUGGGACUGAGACACGGCCCAGACUCCUACGGGAGGCAGCAGUGAGGAAUUUUCCGCAAUGGGCGCAAGCCUGACGGAGCGACGCCGCGUGAGGGACGAAGGUUUUCGGAUCGUAAACCUCUUUUAUUAAGGAAAAAUGCAAUUAUGCCAACCAUAUUUGCUUGA
rnacentral:rRNA from 1 species